rnacentral:rRNA from 1 species
AUUGAACGCUGGCGGCAUGCUUUACACAUGCAAGUCGAACGGCAGCGCGGGCUUCGGCCUGGCGGCGAGUGGCGAACGGGUGAGUAAUGCAUCGGAACGUGCCCAGUAGUGGGGGAUAGCCCGGCGAAAGCCGGAUUAAUACCGCAUACGACCUGAGGGUGGAAGCGGGGGACCGAAAGGCCUCGCGCUAUUGGAGCGGCCGAUGUCGGAUUAGCUAGUUGGUGGGGUAAAGGCUUACCAAGGCGACGAUCCGUAGCUGGUCUGAGAGGACGACCAGCCACACUGGGACUGAGACACGGCCCAGACUCCUACGGGAGGCAGCAGUGGGGAAUUUUGGACAAUGGGGGCAACCCUGAUCCGGCCAUGCCGCGUGCGGGAAGAAGGCCUUCGGGUUGUAAACCGCUUUUGUUCGGGAAGAAAUCCUCUGGGCUAAUACCCCGGGGGGAUGACGGUACCGGAAGAAUAAGCACCGGCUAACUACGUG